CCACCUGAAAUGAACAUCAUAGUUGCGUUUGUGGUUCAUAUGAAUCCUGCCCUGUAAGUAUCAUAUCAUGGCAACCUUAACUUGACAACAUAUUCCUACGAUCAGUUUCCAAAUGGAAGCGUUUUACACAACUCUCUCCUCCCCUGCGUCCACGUCUGUUCUCAAUUUUCAGGGCUCUGAAUUGCCUAGAAGAAAUCUUUGUAAGAAAUCUUCACACACUAUUUUUGCAUCACCUACGCUGCCUAAACCGUUUCUUCAGAUUUGUGGUAGACCUCAGACAUUGAUUUAUACGUCAACCCGACUCUCUUCUGGAGCACAUAAAGCAACGAUAUCUGCUGAAGCUGGAAGACAAAAUUGGGAUUUUGGAAGAUUUGUUAAAACACUGUUCUUCUUCAAUGGGUUCCCAUCUCCUGCUAAGUUCUUUGAUUUUCUAGCUGAGAAAAUAUCUGAUCCUUCCCCUAGUGAAGUCAUUAACACAAUGGGAACUUCUGAUAUUGUCCUGGUAGCUGGAGCAACUGGUGGUGUUGGUCGAAGGGUGGUUGACAUAUUACGCAAGAAAGGAAUUCCAGUCCGAGUAUUGGUUAGAAAUGAAGAGAAAGCAAGGAAGAUGUUAGGCUCAGAUGUUGAUUUGGUCAUUGGAGACAUUACAAAAGAUAGCACUUUGAUCCCUGAAUACUUUAAAGGCGUGAAGAAAGUGAUUAAUGCUGCUUCUGUCAUUGUUGGUCCUAAGGAAGGAGACACUCCAGACAGAUCAAAAUACAGCCAAGGAAUUAAGUUCUUUGAGCCAGAGAUAAAAGGUGACUCACCAGAAAAGGUAGAGUACAUAGGAAUGUGAAAUUUGAUCAAGGCUGUGAAGGACAAUCUUGGACUUCGAAGAGGAAAGCUAUUAUUUGGAUUUGAAGGCAUUAAUUACAGGCAGCUUCCUUGGGGUGCUUUAGAUGACGUGGUAAUGGGUGGAGUUAGUGAAAGCACAUUUCAAAUUGACCCAAGUGGGGGUGAAAAUGGUGGACCAACUGGGGUUUUUAAAGGUGUUGUUUCAACAGCAAACAAUGGUGGCUUUACAAGUAUCAGAACUAAGAAUUUCUCAGAGCCUGAAAAUCUUUCUGCAUAUGAUGGUUUGGAGUUCCGCCUAAAAGGUGAUGGGCGUAGAUAUAAAAUCAUUGUUCGCAAAAGCAGUGAUUGGGACACUCUUGGUUACACUGCAGGCUUUGACACUGAGAAAGGAAAAUGGCAAUCAAUUCAAGUGCCAUUUUCUUCCCUGAGUCCUGUAUUUCGAGCAAGAACAGUGUCCAAUGCUCCACCAUUUGAUCCAAGCAUUGUUGUAUCAUUACAGCUCAUGUUCAGCAAGUUUGAGUCUGAUGGUAAAUUAAAUGAAACUUUUGUGGAAGGUCCAUUUGAGCUUCCGGUGUCUAGCAUACGGGCAUAUAUAAAGGAUCCAAUAACACCCAGGUUUGUGCAUGUGAGCUCAGCAGGAGUUACAAGACCCGAAAGGCCUGGAAUCGAUCUAAGUAAACAGCCUCCCGCCGUUCGAUUAAACAAGGAACUGGAUUAUAUCCUCACAUUUAAACUAAAGGGCGAGGAUUUACUUAGAGAAAGUGGCAUUCCCUAUGCAAUCGUGAGGCCUUGUGCAUUAACUGAGGAGCCUGCUGGUGCCAAUCUUAUUUUUGAUCAAGGAGAUAAUAUUACGGGUAAAAUAUCAAGGGAAGAGAUUGCUCUUAUGUGUGUAGCUGCGCUUGAUAGCCCUUACGCAUGUGACAAAACAUUUGAGGUCAAAAGUGUCAUUCCAUUUAGCGAGCCAUUUACUGUGGAUCCAACAAACCCUCCUCCAGAAAAGGACUAUGACGUAUAUUUUAAAAAUUUAAAAGAAGGCAUUACUGGGAAGGAAGCUCUCCAACAAAAUCCUGUUUCUGUUUAGUUCAGCUAUGAAUGUUGCAGAUGCGAGUACUUUGAGAGCUGUGCAGUCUUUGAUCUAAAGAGAUCUAAACUUGACAAAUCUGUGAUACUAAGUUUUAUGAUAAAAUAGGUUAUGUCCUAACAGUAUAAAACAGUUUUAAACCAAGUUAAAUAUGAUCUUUACCUUACAAUAUGCACGUAUAUUCUGUCUUCAAACAAUCAAACAUGAGUCCUUUUCCUCAUAUGUUACAGGCUUCUAGCAAAUAGGAAAGCAAAGAAUUUUUAUAUUCUUGUAAGAAGAUAGAACUAUCGUUUCCUUUUUCUUGCAACAGUUUAGGUUUGCAUCUCUGCUAGACGAGAGGAAUGAGAAUUACAAGAAGACAUGCGUGGAGUUA